GCCUUAGAGCUGACUCUAUGGGUAGUAACUGUUAGCUGUAGAGCUGACUCUAUGGGUAGUAACUGUUAGCCGUAGAGCU
rnacentral:lncRNA from 1 species